CAUGCAGUCGAACGGGAACCUUUCGGGGUUUUAGUGGCGGACGGGUGAGUAACGCGUGAGAAUCUGCCUUCAGGAUGGGGACAACAGUUGGAAACGACUGCUAAUACCCGAUAUGCGCAGCAAUGCGUGAAAGAUUUAUCGCCUGGAGAUGAGCUCGCGUCAGAUUAGCUAGAUGGUGUGGUAAAGGCGCACCAUGGCGACGAUCUGUAGCUGGUCUGAGAGGAUGAGCAGCCACACUGGGACUGAGACACGGCCCAGACUCCUACGGGAGGCAGCAGUGGGGAAUUUUCCGCAAUGGGCGCAAGCCUGACGGAGCAAUACCGCGUGAGGGAGGAAGGCUCUUGGGUCGUAAACCUCUUUUCUCAGGGAAGAAUAAAAUGACGGUACCUGAGGAAUCAGCAUCGGCUAACUCCGUGCCAGCAGCCGCGGUAAUACGGAGGAUGCAAGCGUUAUCCGGAAUGAUUGGGCGUAAAGCGUCCGUAGGUGGUCGUGUAAGUCCGUGGUUAAAGCGUGUAGCUCAACUACAUAAGGGCCAUGGAAACUACAUAACUCGAGUGAAGUAGGGGUAGAGGGAAUUCCCAGUGUAGCGGUGAAAUGCGUAGAGGUUGGGAAGAACACCGGUGGCGAAAGCGCUCUACUGGACUUAAACUGACACUGAGGGACGAAAGCUAGG
rnacentral:rRNA from 1 species